rnacentral:rRNA from 1 species
GACGAACGCUGGCGGCGUGCUUAACACAUGCAAGUCGAACGAAAAGACGGAAAGAGCUUGCUCUUUUCAGAAUUGAGUGGCAAACGGGUGAGUAACACGUAAACAACCUGCCUUCAGGAUGGGGACAACAGACGGAAACGACUGCUAAUACCGAAUAAGUUCCAAGGGCCGCAUGGCCCAUGGAAGAAAAGGUGGCCUCUACCUGUAAGCUAUCGCCUGAAGAGGGGUUUGCGUCUGAUUAGCUGGUUGGAGGGGUAACGGCCCACCAAGGCGACGAUCAGUAGCCGGUCUGAGAGGAUGAACGGCCACACUGGAACUGAGACACGGUCCAGACUCCUACGGGAGGCAGCAGUGGGGAAUCUUCCGCAAUGGGCGAAAGCCUGACGGAGCGACGCCGCGUGAGUGAUGACGGCCUUCGGGUUGUAAAACUCUGUGAUCCGGGACGAAAAGGCAGAGUGC